rnacentral:rRNA from 1 species
GGGUUUAAAACGUCGUGAGACAGUUUGGUCCCUAUCUUCCGUGGGCGCUGCAAGAUUGAGAGAGCCUGCUCCUAGUACGAGAGGACCGGAGUGGACGCACCUCUGGUGUAUCGGUUGUCACGCCAGUGGCAUUGCCGAGUAGCUAAGUGCGGAAGAGAUAACCGCUGAAAGCAUCUAAGCGGGAAACUCGUCUCAAGAUGAGUCUUGCCGGGGCCUUGAGCCCCCUGAAGGGUCGUUCGAGACCAGGACGUUGAUAGGCUGGGUGUGGAAGCGCAGUAAUGCGUUAAGCUAACCAGUACUAAUUGCCCGUGAGGCUUGACC